rnacentral:RNase_P_RNA from 1 species
GCGGAUGGCUGGAUGGCCGCGGCAGGGCUUUCCCUGUCGAGGAAAGUCCGGACUCCACAAGGCACGGUGCCGGGUAACGCCCGGCGGGGGAAACCCUAGGGAAAGCGCCACAGAGAACAGACUACCGCCGCUUCGGCGACGGAAAAGGUGAAACGGUGGGGUAAGAGCCCACCGCGGGACUGGCAACAGGACCGGCACGGCAAGCCCCACCGGGAGCAAUGCCAAAUAGGGGCCUCGCGCGGGUGUGAUCGGUUCACCGAUAUCCCCGCAGGGACGCCUGACCCCGAGAGGCCCGGGUUGGCAGCUAGAGGUCCAUUGGCAACAAUGGAUCGAGAUGAAUGGUCAUCCAGGGCGGUCUCCGCCCGGACAAAAUCCGGCUUAUAGGCCGUCCGCGCAA